GGAUGUGAGGGCGAUCUGGCUGUGACAUCUGUCACCCCAUUGAUCGCCAGGGUUGAUUCAGCUGAUCUGGCUGGCUAGGCGGGUGUCCCCUUCCUCCCUCACCACUCCACCUCACGCUCACUCCAUGUGCGUCCCUCCUGAAGCUACGGGCUCGGUGGAAGAGGACUGAGAUGUUAACAUAUGAGUGCUGGAGGUGAAAUAGUUAAACAG